UACGUAGGGGGCAAGCGUUGUCCGGAAUUACUGGGCGUAAAGCGCGUGUAGGCUGCUCGGAAAGUCGGAUGUGAAAGCCCUGGGCUCAACCUAGGAAGUGCAUUCGAAACUUCUGAGCUGGAGUGCUGGAGAGGAAGGCGGAAUUCUCGGUGUAGAGGUGAAAUUCGUAGAUAUCGAGAGGAACACCGGUGGCGAAGGCGGCCUUCUGGACAGUAACUGACGCUGAGACGCGAAAGCGUGGGGAGCAAACAGG
rnacentral:rRNA from 1 species